rnacentral:rRNA from 1 species
UUCCAGACUCCUACGGGAGGCAGCAGUAGGGAAUCUUUCACAAUGGGCGAAAGCCUGAUGGAGCAACGCCGCGUGCAGGAUGAAGGCCUUCGGGUUGUAAACUGCUUUUAUAAGCGAGAAAUAUGAUGGUAACUUAUGAAUAAGGAUCGGCUAACUACGUGCCAGCAGCCGCGGUAAUACGUAGGGGGCAAGCGUUAUCCGGAUUUACUGGGUGUAAAGGGAGCGUAGACGGCAUGGCAAGUCAGAUGUGAAAGCCCGGGGCUCGACCCCGGGACUGCAUUUGGAACUGUGUAGCUGGAGUGUCGGAGAGGCAGGCGGAAUUCCCAGUGUAGCGGUGAAAUGCGUAGAUAUUAGGAGGAACACCAGUGGCGAAGGCGGCCUGCUGGACGAUGACUGACGUUGAGGCUCGAAAGCGUGGGGAGCAAACAGGAUUAGAUACCCUUGUA